rnacentral:rRNA from 1 species
AUUGAACGCUGGCGGCAGGCCUAACACAUGCAAGUCGAACGGUAACAGGAAGAAGCUUGCUUCUUUGCUGACGAGUGGCGGACGGGUGAGUAAUGUCUGGGAAACUGCCUGAUGGAGGGGGAUAACUACUGGAAACGGUAGCUAAUACCGCAUAACGUCGCAAGACCAAAGAGGGGGACCUUCGGGCCUCUUGCCAUCGGAUGUGCCCAGAUGGGAUUAGCUAGUAGGUGGGGUAACGGCUCACCUAGGCGACGAUCCGUAGCUGGUCUGAGAGGAUGAUCAGCCACACUGGAACUGAGACACGGUCCAGACUCCUACGGGAGGCAGCAGUGGGGAAUAUUGGACAAUGGGCGAAAGCCUGAUCCAGCCAUGCCGCGUGUGUGAAGAAGGCCUUCGGGUUGUAAAGCACUUUAAGCGGGGAGGAAGGUUCGCGGCCUAAUACGUCGCGGAAUUGACGUUACCCGCAGAAUAAGCACCGGCUAACUCUGUG